GACGAACGCUGGCGGCGUGCCUAAUACAUGCAAGUCGAACGCUGAAGAGAGGAGCUUACUCUUCUUGGAUGAGUUGCGAACGGGUGAGUAACGCGUAGGUAACCUGCCUUGUAGCGGGGGAUAACUAUUGGAAACGAUAGCUAAUACCGCAUAACAAUGGAUGACACAUGCCAUUUAUUUGAAAGGGGCAAUUGCUCCACUACAAGAUGGACCUGCGUUGUAUUAGCUAGUAGGUGAGGUAAUGGCUCACCUAGGCGACGAUACAUAGCCGACCUGAGAGGGUGAUCGGCCACACUGGGACGGAGACACGGCCCAGACUACUACGGGAGGCAGCAGUAGGGAAUCUUCGGGAAUGGGGGCAACCCUGACCGAGCAACGCCGCGUGAGUGAAGAAGGUUGUCGGGUCGUAAAGCUCUGUUGUAAGUCAAGAACGGGAGUGAGAGUGGAAAGUUCACACUGUGACGGUAGCUGACCAGAAAGGGACGGCUAACUACGUG
rnacentral:rRNA from 1 species